CGGACGGGUGAGUAACGCGUGGAUAACCUGCCUUACACUGGGGGGAUAACACUUAGAAAUAGGUGCUAAUACCGCAUAAGCGCACAGAGCCGCAUGGCUCAGUGUGAAAAACUUCGGUGGUGUAAGAUGGAUCCGCGUCUGAUUAGCUGGUUGGCGGGGUAGAAGCCCACCAAGGCGACGAUCAGUAGCCGGCCUGGGAGGGUGAACGGCCACAUUGGGACUGAGACACGGCCCAAACUCCUACGGAAGGCAGCAG
rnacentral:rRNA from 1 species